AUUGAACGCUGGCGGCAGGCCUAACACAUGCAAGUCGAACGGCAGCACAGUACUUGCUUCCGCAUACAGGGGCGGAGGGGCGGAUGAGGCCUGGAAACCUCCCAGGCUGUUGGGGAUAGGGUGCGAAAAUGGGCACUAUUACGCCAUUCCUCCUGAGGGCCUACGUGUGGGAUCUUCGGAUCUUCCGCUCUUGCGUGAUCCUAGGUCGGAUUGGCUAGUUGGCGGGGUAAAGGCCUACCAAGGCGACGAUGCGUAACUGGUCUGAGAGGAUGAUCAGCCACACUGGAACUGAGACACGGUCCAGACUCCUACGGGAGGCAGCAGUGGGGAAUAUUGGACAAUGGGCGAAAGCCUGAUCCAGCCAUGCCGCGUGGGUGAAGAAGGUCUUCGGGUUGUAAAGCACUUUUGGUGGGGAAGAAAGGCAGCAGGUUAAUACCUUGCUGUUUUGACGGUACCAACAGAAUAAGCACCGGCUAACUUCGUG
rnacentral:rRNA from 1 species